rnacentral:rRNA from 1 species
UGGGGAAUAUUGCACAAUGGGCGCAAGCCUGAUGCAGCGACGCCGCGUGGGGGAUGACGGCCUUCGGGUUGUAAACUCCUUUCGCCAGGGACGAAGCGUUU